CAAAUAGUGACAGAGACGAAAGUCUACCUGGGGUAGAAAGCAUGAGGUCGUUGCUAUGUCAGCCCACAUUUGACACUGCUGGGGUUGGGGACGGUGUCCACACCUGACAGAGAGCUCUUCGCUCGUGAUCUCUACCACACUCAGAUCUUCCUCAGAGGAGUUUCUGUGAACGCUGUGGUUUCUCACUCAAAGUGGAAAAUUCCUGUCCUUUCUGUGUGCCAGCAGUACUUGUUGGAGACCCAAUACCGAGGCCUGCACCUUUCAUCUGACUGUUCCUUGUCUGGAUGUCUAGCAGCAAGAACGUUUGCUACGUUUGCUCCACAGAAAGAGUUCAAGAAAACAAUUGAUUGAACAAAUGAACGAUGGGAUGCAGGCCCAAUGCUACGUGGCAAAACACUGUCUCAAAAGCAAAAACAAAACUACGGAAACAAGCAAAAGCACUUCUGUGCUAUUGGAAAUGAGCGCCUCACAUGUGUCUCAGGUCACUCCCUUUCCUGUCCUAGCCACGGUCAGAGUGAUGUAGUUGCCAUGGCAAUCUCUCUCAUAAUCCUGAGGGUAGGAUAAGAGAGCCAGGGAAAGGAAUUAGGAAGUUUUAAAAGUUAAUAUUACUAUUAUUUUUAAAUGUGUGAGUCCAAUGGUAUUCUAAUAAGUUUAUCAAAGGCAUGAAUGAUAUUGACUAGAAAUGAUACUGUAUCCCUCUAUUUGAAUUUCACCCUUCUAUAGAUUAGAAAGUUAUGUUUAUGCUUUCUUCUCCAUUUUUAAAUAGAAAAAUGCAAACUGAGGUCAACUCAUGAAAAACUUCUAUCACUGGAGAAAGACAGAAUCGAUUUCAAUUUUACAGAUGGAACAGACAGAACUGAAACCACAUAUUUAUUGAAGAACCACUAAAAUAUGGGUUAAUAAAAAAAGAGUGAAUGAGGAGUAGGUAUUAUAAUUCAUUUUCAAAUUGAAAUAAUAAUAAAACUUUAAAUGAGCAGUAAUAACUAGCAAUCAUAACAAAGUUUUCAGCACUGUGCCAAAUGCCAGGCAACAUUUAUCAUAUAUAACUGGCCACCUGUUUCUAUAGGUAUCAUGUCGUAUGUGUAUUUUUAACAAACCAGAUGGAAAAUACUUGAAAAACAUAUUGAAAUCUCUGUGGAAUAUGAACAUAUAUUUGUCUCACAAUUAUUCCCAAAACAAUACAGUACCAGCAACUAUUUAUAUAUCAUUGCUACUGUAUUCUAUGUAAUCCAGAGAGGCUUUGGGGCUUACAAGCUGCAAAAGUUAUGGGCAAACACUAUAGCAGUUGAGCAUCUGUGGACUUUGAUAUCCAUGGGAGGCCCAGGAAGCAGAGAUAAUUACUGCUUAAUUUUCUGGAAGAAAGUUCCAUUCUGUACUCACAUCCACUAAAGUGAGAGUGUGUAUAACACCCAGAAUGGCUGUAGUGGCAAAUGUUUUAGGCUAUGACCUGGAAACUCUGGCUGAGUCUCUGAGAUCCACUAGCUAUCAGAUACCAAAGGAGGCAAUGAGGUGGAUCGAAACGCAACUUGCAAAGGGACUGUUGGAGAACUGGUUUCUCUAGCAGCGCUGCCGAGGGAGCAACAUCCAAGGGAACUUCUGAAGAACUCAGCGGUCCCAUGGGAGAAUCAGCUUUCACAACUGCCAUGCUGGGGAGUGCAAAGCCCUUCAGAAAGACAGCAGCAGAGGGAGAACUUUCUGUGCUCCUUCCCCCAAAUCCCUCUAACCCCAGGAGCCUGGGAAUCUAGCUGGAGGGGACAAGAGAGGUGCUGGCAGAUGAAGCAAAGGCCACCUCUGCUCCGCUGUUUGAAGCUUGCCCUUGGUAGGAAGAGGAAAAUGAUUUAACUCCAAAGGAAGUCUUGCACAGUGUAUGGGACUGGGCACUGUAAUAUUAGAGCAAGCCUAUUGAUAGGAAGCGCUCUGGGGUUCUCCUGCCUCCUCUUUCCUGGAGAUUACAGGAAUGUGCCACCAUGCCUGCUUUAGGCAGUACUAGAAUCAGAUUCCUGAGCCCUGUGCAUGCUGGGAAAAACACUCUACCAACUGAACUGCAUCUUCAACCCACACAAAUGGUUUUCAUCAGCACAUAGUAAUUAUAGAAAGAGGAGAAUGUCUUUAUAACAUUUCCAUUCACGAACAUAAUGUACUUGGAUCGCAUUCACCUCUGCUGUUACCAGCUCCUAUUCGCCCCCUUUCCCUGCCCACACCCCUAACAGCCUCCCUUCCGGGAGACUUUAGGAAACAGGUUUCAAAGAAACAGUUGGCCAUCUUCAAGCUUAGUUUCUUUCCUCCUUCCCUUCUUGCUUUCUUUUUUGAGACAGUAUUUUGGUUUAGGUUUUGGUUUUUUGUUUGCUUGCUUGUUUUGUUUUGAAGCAUCGCCUGUCCUGGAACUCACCGUGUAGAUCAGGCUAGCCUUGAACUCACAGAAAUAUAUUGCCUCUGCCUCUCAAGUACUGGGAUUAAAGGCAUGUGCCACCUCGCCCAGAUUCAAUUUUUUUUAACUAUUUCCUACAAGUGUGCUUGUCAUGUGUGUUGAUUGUUCAGCACUAAAAUUGACCUGCAAGUAUGUUAAAUUCAGCCCCUGUAAUUAUUUUUACAUUUUCUAGCUAUUUUUUAAAAUAAGAUUUUUAAAAAAAAAUGAUCACAAGGUGCAUUUGGAAAGUUAGAAUCCAUUUCUUUCAGCCCGGGUGUGUGAAAUGGGCUACUGAAACACAAUUAAAUUGCAAUAAGUACGAUUAUAAGUAAUAAACACAUCGCGGAAUAAGUGAGGAUGUGGGAAAAGCCCUAUCUGUGUGCAUCUCGCUUCUGUCACCUUACAGAAAGUAGCCAUGGAACCAGUAAUAUGACUCAGAGGGGGAAGUGCCUGUCAUGUAAAUCUGACAAUCUGAAUUCGAGCCUCAGUGCUCACCACAGAAGGAAAGCCUACUGAAAGCUGUUCUGACUCAUGCACCCUGUAAGACAUGCACACCGGCCAUGUGCAUGCACAUGCACCACUAAUAGUAAACAAAACAAAGUAUAGAGGCAUUGAUGCAACUUUUAGGAUUGUUGGGACAGUUAAAAGUAAUCAUACUGUAACUUGGAGUAAAGACAAGGUUCAACAAAUCAAAGAUAGUAUUAUUAUUAAAAUAGAUGAACAUAGAUGUGAGAAAUCUCACUUUAUUGGAAAAAGUUACUUAUAUCAUUAUAUCCCUUGUUCCUGUUAUCAAUAUUGUGUAAUGACAGGAUUUUGAAUAUUAUUUUUUAAAUGUAUUUAUUUUAA